rnacentral:lncRNA from 1 species
GAAUCAAUCAUUGAAAUCACCCUAUGGAAUUUGCCUUUGUAUUCCAAUUUGGUUCCAGAAUGGAAUAAGAAGACUUAAAGACUAGUUGAGCAAAGCCAUGUAGGGCCUGCGAACUACCCAUCCAGGGCUCCAAGGGAAGCAGGCACAGACGAUUGAGUUGGGAGCUGAGUGUGAUCGGGAGAGUUGUGGGAAGUCAAGUUUGGAUGUUCUGGAGGAGUCUGCCGAGGGAUGCUGACAGAGGCAGAGCCUUUGUGAAGUUCACUGGACCAAUUUCAGUAGCCAGGAGCAAUGGUGUCACCAGGCCUCUGCAGUCUGUGCUGAGUGCAAACGUGGUCAAAGCUUCAGGAACGGCCCUAGUGAUGGACUAUGUGUGUAAGCGUCAGCCGAGCUAAGGGCUUGGGAGGGUCGGCCACUGGAGGAUGAAUUUUG